UACGUAGGGUGCCAGCGUUGUCCGGAAUUAUUGGGCGUAAAGCGCGCGCAGGCGGUCCUUUAAGUCUGAUGUGAAAGCCCACGGCUUAACCGUGGAGGGUCAUUGGAAACUGAGGGACUUGAGUACAGAAGAGGAGAGUGGAAUUCCACGUGUAGCGGUGAAAUGCGUAGAGAUGUGGAGGAACACCAGUGGCAAAGGCGACUCUCUGGUCUGUAACCGACGCUGAGGUGCGAAAGCGUGGGUAGCAAACAGGAUUAGAUACCCUGGUA
rnacentral:rRNA from 1 species